AGUGAACGCUGGCGGUAGGCCUAAUACAUGCAAGUCGAACGGCAGCACAGUAAGCGCUUGCUCUUACGGGUGGCGAGUGGCGGACGGGUGAGGAAUACAUCGGAAUCUACUUUUUCGGGGGGGAUAACGUAGGGACACUUAUACUAAUACCGAAUACGACCUACGGGUGGAAGCAAGGGAUCUUCGGACCUUGCGCGUUAGAAUGAGCCGAUGUCGGAUUAGCUAGUUGGCGGGGUAAAGGCCCACCAAGGCGACGAUCCGUAGCUGGUCUGAGAGGAUGAUCAGCCACACUGGAACUGAGACACGGUCCAGACUCCUACGGGAGGCAGCAGUAGGGAAUAUUGGACAAUGGGCGCAAGCCUGAUCCAGCCAUACCGCGUGAGUGAAGAAGGCCUUCGGGUUGUAAAGCCCUUUUAUUAGGAAAGAAAAGCAGCAGGUUAAUACCUGGCUGUUCUGACGGUACCCAAUGAAUAAGCACCGGCUAACUUCGUG
rnacentral:rRNA from 1 species